rnacentral:rRNA from 1 species
UUGCAGCCCCUUGUCGACAAGGUCACCGGACGCUUGCCCACCUGGAAAGCAUGGCUCAUGAACAGAGCCGGCAGGCUCGCCCUCGUCAAGUUCUUCCUUUGCACUAUCCCGGUGCACCAGCGGGUUGCAUUUGCCCCCUCGAAGAAAAGACUGCAGCAACUCGAGAAAAUUCAACGAGGGUUCCUCUGGGCCGGGCGAGCCAUCACCAACGGCGGGCACUGCCAUGUGAACUGGCAUCAUGCUUCCCGCCCGCUCGCGCUUGGCAGCCUUGGGGUUCGUGAUGUCGAGCGCGUUGGACUCGCGCUCAGGCUGCGGUGGCUCUGGCUCUCGCGAACGGACGAAGGGCGCGCCUGGCAGGGGCUGGACCUCCAAUUUUCUAGCAACGACAGCUGA